rnacentral:rRNA from 1 species
GAUGAACGCUGGCGGCGUGCCUAAUACAUGCAAGUCGAACGAACGGACGAGAAGCUUGCUUCUCUGAUGUUAGCGGCGGACGGGUGAGUAACACGUGGAUAACCUACCUAUAAGACUGGGAUAACUUCGGGAAACCGGAGCUAAUACCGGAUAAUAUUUUGAACCGCAUGGUUCAAAAGUGAAAGACGGUCUUGCUGUCACUUAUAGAUGGAUCCGCGCUGCAUUAGCUAGUUGGUAAGGUAACGGCUUACCAAGGCAACGAUGCAUAGCCGACCUGAGAGGGUGAUCGGCCACACUGGAACUGAGACACGGUCCAGACUCCUACGGGAGGCAGCAGUAGGGAAUCUUCCGCAAUGGGCGAAAGCCUGACGGAGCAACGCCGCGUGAGUGAUGAAGGUCUUCGGAUCGUAAAACUCUGUUAUUAGGGAAGAACAUAUGUGUAAGUAACUGUGCACAUCUUGACGGUACCUAAUCAGAAAGCCACGGCUAACUACGUGCCAGCAGCCGCGGUAAUACGUAGGUGGCAAGCGUUAUCCGGAAUUAUUGGGCGUAAAGCGCGCGUAGGCGGUUUUUUAAGUCUGAUGUGAAAGCCCACGGCUCAACCGUGGAGGGUCAUUGGAAACUGGAAAACUUGAGUGCAGAAGAGGAAAGUGGAAUUCCAUGUGUAGCGGUGAAAUGCGCAGAGAUAUGGAGGAACACCAGUGGCGAAGGCGACUUUCUGGUCUGUAACUGACGCUGAUGUGCGAAAGCGUGGGGAUCAAACAGGAUUAGAUACCCUGGUAGUCCACGCCGUAAACGAUGAGUGCUAAGUGUUAGGGGGUUUCCGCCCCUUAGUGCUGCAGCUAACGCAUUAAGCACUCCGCCUGGGGAGUACGACCGCAAGGUUGAAACUCAAAGGAAUUGACGGGGACCCGCACAAGCGGUGGAGCAUGUGGUUUAAUUCGAAGCAACGCGAAGAACCUUACCAAAUCUUGACAUCCUUUGACAACUCUAGAGAUAGAGCUUUCCCCUUCGGGGGACAAAGUGACAGGUGGUGCAUGGUUGUCGUCAGCUCGUGUCGUGAGAUGUUGGGUUAAGUCCCGCAACGAGCGCAACCCUUAAGCUUAGUUGCCAUCAUUAAGUUGGGCACUCUAAGUUGACUGCCGGUGACAAACCGGAGGAAGGUGGGGAUGACGUCAAAUCACCAUGCCCCUUAUGAUUUGGGCUACACACGUGCUACAAUGGACAAUACAAAGGGCAGCGAAACCGCGAGGUCAAGCAAAUCCCAUAAAGUUGUUCUCAGUUCGGAUUGUAGUCUGCAACUCGACUACAUGAAGCUGGAAUCGCUAGUAAUCGUAGAUCAGCAUGCUACGGUGAAUACGUUCCCGGGUCU